UUCUCUUAGAGUUUCCCCUGAGACAGAGAACACAAAACUAUCUUUGGAUUUUCUAUGGGGAAAUCUGUUUUGCCCUUGGGGAAAGAGAAAAAUCCAGCCCCUAAAGACUAGCAAGUAAGACCUCUUCAGACUCCCAAGACCACUACUUUGGUUUCAAGAAAAUGGGUAAGAAUUAUGUGCAAGACAGAUUAUUGCUAGCCUAAAUAAACGGUAGCCUUGGAAAAUUCACAGAACUUUCUAGAAAAUAACUCAGUUAAAAAACUCAACAAAUCUAUUUAAUCAUUAGCUCUGUUACUGCAAAGUACUCUUCAUCUAUACUUUUAUUUAAAGUACAGCAGGCUGAAAGCCAAAAUGAGCUUUAAAAGGAAAAAAUGUACAUCUGUCAAUUUUAACUUCCAGACUUCUGAAAUCUUGCUGAAGCAAUCAACUGAAUUUUAUUUGGCUUUGUUUGUUUGUUUUUCCAUUUCAGCAAACAUCAGUACUCCUCCUCUCCAACUGUCACUGACAAAUUUAAUAUGAAAAUAUUCUGAGAUUGACUUCUGAAGAGCAAGGCCUGAAUCGCUUGGGGAAAAUAAGAGAAACCUUGUUUAUUGGGGGAAUAGGAAAGUCAAUAAAUCCCUGACGAGCUUUGAUCCUAAUAGAGCAACAGACAGAAGACACAGAUAUUUUUCCAAAUGCCCUGGAUGAAAACAGAGAUUAUUAGAAAGGACACAAGUGAAAAAGACUGCUCCAGAAAUGUUUUAGAUAACACGUUACAGUCCCUCUCAACUGCAAAGGAAUCUUGGGAGGAAGAGAAAGAAGGAUUUUUGCAUGAAGUCAACCAGCAAGCAACACAAUUAGAGACCAUGUACUUACCAAUAAUAACAGUGUUGUCAUCAGCAAUUAGCAACUUGCUGUGGACAUAGAUGAGCUCAGUGACUAGGUUUCCUUCAAGCUCUGCAUGCGUUCUAAGGCCACAGAAUGAUAUGUAAUUUAUCCACUGAUUGCCAACUAUAAAGUAAAAAAGAAAGUAUUAAAAUGAAUAUGACCUAGCUCAAUAAAGGCACAUUACAUUUUA